rnacentral:rRNA from 1 species
UACGGAGGGGGCUAGCGUUGUUCGGAAUUACUGGGCGUAAAGCGCACGUAGGCGGCUUUGUAAGUUAGAGGUGAAAGCCCGGGGCUCAACUCCGGAACUGCCUUUAAGACUGCAUCGCUAGAAUUGUGGAGAGGUGAGUGGAAUUCCGAGUGUAGAGGUGAAAUUCGUAGAUAUUCGGAAGAACACCAGUGGCGAAGGCGACUCACUGGACACAUAUUGACGCUGAGGUGCGAAAGCGUGGGGGAGCAAACAGG